UCUCCUUUGUUCUUCCUUUAUUAAUAUUUUUCAAUUGCCGCAGGGCUGAACCAGCCAAGUCGCGUGAGGGAUUACGUUCCUAUUUAUUUUAAACCUCUUUUGUCAGGGAGCAAAGGGCGCCACGUGUGGCGUUUUGCGAGUACCUGAAGAAAAAGCAUCGGCUAACUCCGUGCCAGCAGCCGCGGUAAUACGGAGGAUGCGAGCGUUAUCCGGAUUUAUUGGGUUUAAAGGGUGCGCAGGCGGAAUGUCAAGUCAGCGGUAAAAUUUCGGGGCUCAACACCGUAGUGCCGUUGACAAUGGCGUUCUUGAGUGAGAGAGAAGUAUGCGGAAUGCGUGGUGUAGCGGUGAAAUGAAUAGAUAUAAAGAAGAAAUCAGAUUGCGAAGGCAGCAUAAAGGCGCUAAAAUGAAGCUCAUGCACGAAAGAGUGGGUAUAGAAAAGGAUUAGAUAAAAAUGUAGUC
rnacentral:rRNA from 1 species